rnacentral:rRNA from 1 species
UACGGAGGGUGCGAGCGUUAAUCGGAAUAACUGGGCGUAAAGGGCACGCAGGCGGGCAUUUAAGUGAUAUGUGAAAUCCCCGGGCUUAACCUGGGAAUAGCAUUUCAGACUGGGUGUCUAGAGUACUUGAGGGAGGGGUAGAAUUCCACGUGUAGCGGUGAAAUGCGUAGAGAUGUGGAGGAAUACCGAAGGCGAAGGCAGCCCCUUGGCAUUUUACUGACGCUCAUGUGCGAAAGCGUGGGGAGCAAACAGG